GCCGGAAUGCUACUGCCGGAGGUUUUCACAAGCAUCGGCGUACUCAACGUUCCUAAAUGGUACGACGCCGGAAAAUCAGAAUACUUCGCAUCAUCAUCAACCCUGUUGGUGAUCGAGUUCAUUCUUUUCCACUACGUCGAAAUCAGAAGAUGGCAAGACAUCAAGAACCCAGGAAGUGUAAACCAAGAUCCGAUCUUCAAAAGCUACAGUUUACCUCCUAAUGAAGUCGGGUACCCGGGUGGCAUAUUCAACCCACUCAACUUUGCACCAACCGCUGAAGCCA
rnacentral:lncRNA from 1 species